rnacentral:rRNA from 1 species
UACGUAGGGUGCAAGCGUUAAUCGGAAUUACUGGGCGUAAAGCGUGCGCAGGCGGUUCGCUAAGACAGAUGUGAAAUCCCCGGGCUUAACCUGGGAACUGCAUUUGUGACUGGCGGGCUAGAGUAUGGCAGAGGGGGGUAGAAUUCCACGUGUAGCAGUGAAAUGCGUAGAUAUGCGGAGGAACACCGAUGGCGAAGGCAAUCCCCCUGGACCUGUACUGACGCUCAUGCA